AACGCAUAAUGAUUCUGGACAUAAUGACUGAAGCUGCUCAGGAGCUUGCUAAUGCGAAGAGUAUGAAACCUAAACAUCAAUCAACGGUCCUCAUAUCAACUAUAUCAGAGAAUCAACCCUGGUUCUUGCCUAGUAGCUCAGGACCUCCCGGAGCUGGUGCUUGGAAAGAGGUAUCAGAAACUGGAACUCUAUUAAACUAUUCAAAUCGUUAUGAGAGAGAACUUCCCCCUAAACCUGGUCAGAUCAGAAAAGGGAAGACUCGUCGUUGGAGCCUUAGAACACCAAAUAUGCAGGAAAACCAGUUAGAAUGGACCCAAAAUAAGUUUCCUGUUUAUGCAGCAGCAUUUAUGCUUCCUGCCAUGCAGGGUUUUGAUAAGAAACGACAUGGUGUUGAUUUGCUUGGUAGAGAUUUUAUUGUCCUAGGGAAACUCACC
rnacentral:misc_RNA from 1 species